rnacentral:misc_RNA from 1 species
CAACCCUCAAGCCUAGCUUGCGAUUGGACCUUUCGUCGUCACAAGACGGGUCCUAAAGCCAAUGACGGAGUCUGUCGGGACCCUAGAUGCAACGAGCUCUCUACGACAGCACGCAUCAAAGGCGCCGAUGGCUCUGGUCUCAACCAUCUCUUUAUAACAAGGUUGACCUCGGAUCAGGUAGGGAUACCCGCUGAACUUAA